rnacentral:rRNA from 1 species
GAUGAACGCUGGCGGCGUGCCUAAUACAUGCAAGUCGAGCGAAGCGGGGACGGGUGAGAAACACGUGGAUAACCUCCUAUAAGACUGGGAUAACUUCGGGAAACCGGUGCUAAUCCGGAUAAUUAUAGCUGGUUCCGCGCUGCAUUAGCUAGUUGGUCAGGUAACGGCUUACCAAGGCAACGAUGCAUAGCCGACCUGAGAGGGUGAUCAGCCACACUGGAACUGAGACACGGUCCAGACUCCUACGGGAGGCAGCAGUAGGGAAUCUUCCGCAAUGGGCGAAAGCCUGACGGAGCAACGCCGCGUGAGUGAUGAAGGUCUUCGGAUCGUAAAACUCUGUUAUUAGGGAAGCGGUACCUAAUCAGAAAGCAACGGCUAACUACGUGCCAGCAGCCGCGGUAAUUC